rnacentral:rRNA from 1 species
UGAACGCUAGCGGGAUGCUUUACACAUGCAAGUCGAACGGCAGCGCGGACUUCGGUCUGGCGGCGAGUGGCGAACGGGUGAGUAAUGUAUCGGAACGUGCCCAGUAGCGGGGGAUAACUACGCGAAAGCGUAGCUAAUACCGCAUACGCCCUACGGGGGAAAGCAGGGGAUCGUAAGACCUUGCACUAUUGGAGCGGCCGAUAUCGGAUUAGCUAGUUGGUGAGGUAACGGCUCACCAAGGCGACGAUCCGUAGCUGGUUUGAGAGGACGACCAGCCACACUGGGACUAAGACACGGCCCAGACUCCUACGGGAGGCAGCAGUGGGGAAUUUUGGACAAUGGGGGCAACCCUGAUCCAGCCAUCCCGCGUGUGCGAUGAAGGCCUUCGGGUUGUAAAGCACUUUUGGCAGGAAAGAAACGUCGCGGGCUAAUACCCCGUGGAACUGACGGUACCUGCAGAAUAAGCACCGGCUAACUACGUG